CAGUACUGCUGUUGGAAGAGGAGCAAACAGUGUGGUAUCUAUGGUCCACCAUCACUCCAAGCAUCAUGGCCAUGGAGAAAAGAAUGUUUCAUUACAUAUGGACAAUUAUAGUGGACAAAAUAAGAAAAGUGUUGUAAUAAGCUAUGGAAUGUGGCUUGUUAUGAUGGGUUUACAUGAUGACUUGGAGUACAGCCUGAUUGAGGCCCGGCAUACAGAAUUCAGUCCUGAACAUGUUUAGAAUGUCUUCUGCAUGACCUGGUAUAGAUAGUAUUCUUGAAGGAUUAUAACUUCAACACAGAG
rnacentral:lncRNA from 1 species